rnacentral:rRNA from 1 species
AGUGAACGCUGGCGGUAGGCCUAACACAUGCAAGUCGAACGGCAGCACAGGAGAGCUUGCUCUCUGGGUGGCGAGUGGCGGACGGGUGAGGAAUACAUCGGAAUCUACUCUGUCGUGGGGGAUAACGUAGGGAAACUUACGCUAAUACCGCAUACGACCUACGGGUGAAAGCAGGGGACCUUCGGGCCUUGCGCGAUUGAAUGAGCCGAUGUCGGAUUAGCUAGUUGGCGGGGUAAAGGCCCACCAAGGCGACGAUCCGUAGCUGGUCUGAUAGAAUGGUCAGCCACACUGGAACUGAGACACGGUCCAGACUCCUACGGGAGGCAGCAGUGGGGAAUAUUGGACAAUGGGCGCAAGCCUGAUCCAGCCAUACCGCGUUGGUGAAGAAGGCCUUCGGGUUGUAAAGCCCUUUUGUUGGGAAAGAAAUCCAGCUGGCUAAUACCCGGUUGGGAUGACGGUACCCAAAGAAUAAGCACCGGCUAACUUCGUGCCAGCAGCCGCCGUAA